CUUCACGCAGUCGAGUUGCAGACUGCGAUCCGAACUGAGAACAGAUUUGUGGGAUUGGCUUAGCCUCGCGGCUUCGCUGCCCUUUGUUCUGCCCAUUGUAGCACGUGUGUAGCCCAGGUCAUAAGGGGCAUGAUGAUUUGACGUCAUCCCCACCUUCCUCCGGUUUGUCACCGGCAGUCACCUUAGAGUGCCCAACUGAAUGCUGGCAACUAAGAUCAAGGGUUGCGCUCGUUGCGGGACUUAACCCAACAUCUCACGACACGAGCUGACGACAACCAUGCACCACCUGUCACUCUGCCCCCGAAGGGGAAGCCCUAUCUCUAGGGUUGUCAGAGGAUGUCAAGACCUGGUAAGGUUCUUCGCGUUGCUUCGAAUUAAACCACAUGCUCCACCGCUUGUGCGGGCCCCCGUCAAUUCCUUUGAGUUUCAGUCUUGCGACCGUACUCCCCAGGCGGAGUGCUUAAUGCGUUUGCUGCAGCACUAAAGGGCGGAAACCCUCUAACACUUAGCACACAUCGUUUACGGCGUGGACUACCAGGGUAUCUAAUCCUGUUCGCUCCCCACGCUUUCGCGCCUCAGCGUCAGUUACAGACCAGAGAGUCGCCUUCGCCACUGGUGUUCCUCCACAUCUCUACGCAUUUCACCGCUACACGUGGAAUUCCACUCUCCUCUUCUGCACUCAAGUUCCCCAGUUUCCAAUGACCCUCCCCGGUUGAGCCGGGGGCUUUCACAUCAGACUUAAGAAACCGCCUGCGCGCGCUUUACGCCCAAUAAUUCCGGACAACGCUUGCCACCUACGUAUUACCGCGGCUGCUGGCACGUAGUUAGCCGUGGCUUUCUGGUUAGGUACCGUCAAGGUACCGCCCUAUUCGAACGGUACUUGUUCUUCCCUAACAACAGAGUUUUACGAUCCGAAAACCUUCAUCACUCACGCGGCGUUGCUCCGUCAGACUUUCGUCCAUUGCGGAAGAUUCCCUACUGCUGCCUCCCGUAGGAGUCUGGGCCGUGUCUCAGUCCCAGUGUGGCCGAUCACCCUCUCAGGUCGGCUACGCAUCGUCGCCUUGGUGAGCCGUUACCUCACCAACUAGCUAAUGCGCCGCGGGUCCAUCUGUAAGUGGUAGCUAAAAGCCACCUUUUAUGAUUGAACCAUGCGGUUCAAUCAAGCAUCCGGUAUUAGCCCCGGUUUCCCGGAGUUAUCCCAGUCUUACAGGCAGGUUACCCACGUGUUACUCACCCGUCCGCCGCUGACCUAAGGGAGCAAGCUCCCGUCGGUCCGCUCGACUUGCAUGUAUUAGGCACGCCGCCAGCGUUCGUCCUGAGCCAGGAUCAAACUCA
rnacentral:rRNA from 1 species